UUGAGGUGUACGGAGGAAAAGACGAAGAUGGGGAUGUGAGAAUCGAUGGGUAUGACUGCUUCAAAAUCGACCAGAGCUUCGCAGCACAGAGGUUUAAUGUGAAGACGCUGAAAUUCAAGAACGUACGUGAGCUUUACCGUCUGGGAUGUCGGGGCCCAGUACAAGGUAUUGUGAGAUCCUCUUUAUUCAUUUUCACGCUUGAAUAUGGGUUUAGUUUCAAUAUUUUAUGCCUAUGAAUAUGCUUAUCUAGAUCCAGCGCUUGUGUUAUUCCCGCACUCUACAGUAAAUCAAUAUCUCCCAGAA